UGAGGGAUAUUGGGCAAUGGGGGAAACCCUGACCCAGCGACGCCGCGUGAGGGAAGACGGUCUUCGGAUUGUAAACCUCUGUCUUUGGGGACGAAAAAGGACGGUACCCAAGGAGGAAGCUCCGGCUAACUACGUGCCAGCAGCCGCGGUAAUACGUAGGGAGCGAGCGUUGUCCGGAAUUACUGGGUGUAAAGGGAGCGUAGGCGGGAUUGCAAGUUGGAUGUGAAAACUGCGGGCUCAACCCGGAGAGUGCAUUCAAAACUGCGAUUCUUGAGUGAAGUAGAGGCAAGCGGAAUUCCUAGUGUAGCGGUGAAAUGCGUAGAUAUUAGGAGGAACACCAGUGGCGAAGGCGGCUUGCUGGGCUUUUACUGACGCUGGAGGCUCGAAAGUGUGGGGAGCAAACAGGAUUAGAUACC
rnacentral:rRNA from 1 species